rnacentral:rRNA from 2 species
GUGCCAGCCGCCGCGGUAAUACGUAGGUGGCAAGCGUUAUCCGGAAUUAUUGGGCGUAAAGCGCGCGCAGGCGGUUUCUUAAGUCUGAUGUGAAAGCCCACGGCUCAACCGUGGAGGGUCAUUGGAAACUGGGGAACUUGAGUGCAGAAGAGAAAAGCGGAAUUCCACGUGUAGCGGUGAAAUGCGUAGAGAUGUGGAGGAACACCAGUGGCGAAGGCGGCUUUUUGGUCUGUAACUGACGCUGAGGCGCGAAAGCGUGGGGAGCAAACAGGAUUAGAUACCCUGGUAGUCCACGCCGUAAACGAUGAGUGCUAAGUGUUAGAGGGUUUCCGCCCUUUAGUGCUGCAGCUAACGCAUUAAGCACUCCGCCUGGGGAGUACGGUCGCAAGACUGAAAUUCAAAGGAAUUGGCGGGGGCCC